rnacentral:rRNA from 1 species
AGUGAACGCUGGCGGUAGGCCUAACACAUGCAAGUCGAACGGCAGCACAGUAAGAGCUUGCUCUUACGGGUGGCGAGUGGCGGACGGGUGAGGAAUACAUUGGAAUCUACUUUUUCGUGGGGGAUAACGUAGGGAAACUUACGCUAAUACCGCAUACGACCUACGGGUGAAAGCAGGGGAUCUUCGGACCUUGCGCGAUUGAAUGAGCCGAUGUCGGAUUAGCUAGUUGGCGGGGUAAAGGCCCACCAAGGCGACGAUCCGUAGCUGGUCUGAGAGGAUGAUCAGCCACACUGGAACUGAGACACGGUCCAGACUCCUACGGGAGGCAGCAGUGGGGAAUAUUGGACAAUGGGCGCAAGCCUGAUCCAGCCAUACCGCGUGGGUGAAGAAGGCCUUCGGGUUGUAAAGCCCUUUUGUUGGGAAAGAAAAGCAGCAGGUUAAUACCCCGCUGUCCUGACGGUACCCAAAGAAUAAGCACCGGCUAACUUCGUG